rnacentral:rRNA from 1 species
UACGAAGGGUGCAAGCGUUGCUCGGAAUUAUUGGGCGUAAAGGGUAGGUAGGUGGUGACAUUUGUCUGGGGUGAAAUCCCUGAGCUUAACUCAGGAAGUGCCUUGGAAACGGUGUCACUAGAGUACUGGAGAGGUUCGCAGAAUUCUUGGUGUAGCGGUGAAAUGCGUAGAGAUCAAGAGGAAUACCAGAGGCGAAGGCGGCGAACUGGACAGUAACUGACACUAAACUACGAAAGCGUGGGGAGCAAACAGG